AUUGAACGCUGGCGGCAGGCCUAACACAUGCAAGUCGAGCGGAUGAUGGGAGCUUGCUCCUUGAUUCAGCGGCGGACGGGUGAGUAAUGCCUAGGAAUCUGCCUGGUAGUGGGGGACAACGUUUCGAAAGGAACGCUAAUACCGCAUACGUCCUACGGGAGAAAGCAGGGGACCUUCGGGCCUUGCGCUAUCAGAUGAGCCUAGGUCGGAUUAGCUAGUAGGUGAGGUAAUGGCUCACCUAGGCGACGAUCCGUAACUGGUCUGAGAGGAUGAUCAGUCAAACUGGAACUGAGACACGGUCCAGACUCCUACGGGAGGCAGCAGUGGGGAAUAUUGGACAAUGGGCGAAAGCCUGAUCCAGCCAUGCCGCGUGUGUGAAGAAGGUCUUCGGAUUGUAAAGCACUUUAAGUUGGGAGGAAGGGCAGUAAGUUAAUACCUUGCUGCUUUGACGUUACCGACAGAAUAAGCACCGGCUAACUCUGUGCCAGCAGCCGCCGUAAUAC
rnacentral:rRNA from 1 species